GAUGAACGCUGGCGGCGUGCCUAAUACAUGCAAGUCGAGCGAAGAGGGGACGGGUGAGUAACACGUGGGUAACCUCCUAUAAGACUGGGAUAACUUCGGGAAACCGGAGCUAAACCGGCUACUGAUCGAUGGAUCCGGGCUGCAUUAGCUAGUUUGUAGGGUAACGGUUGACCAAGGCGACGACGCAUAGCCGACCUGAGAGGGUGAUCGGCCACACUGGAACUGAGACACGGUCCAGACUCCUACGGGAGGCAGCAGUGGGGAAUAUUCCGCAAUGGGCGAAAGCCUGACGGAGCAACGCCGCGUGUGUGAUGAAGGUCUUCGGAUCGUAAAACUCUGUUAGUAGGGAAGCGUUACCUAAUCAGAAAGCACCGGCUAACUCCGUGCCAGCAGCCGCGGUAAUUC
rnacentral:rRNA from 1 species